rnacentral:rRNA from 1 species
GAUGAACGCUAGCGGCAGGCUUAAUACAUGCAAGUCAAGGGGGUAGCAAUACAACCGGCGCACGGGUGAGUAACGCGUACACAACAUACCAUAUACUGGGGUAUAGCUUCGGGAAACUGAAGGUAAUCCCCCAUAAUAUUGCGGGAAGGCAUCUUUCUGCAAUUAAAGUUUCGACGGUAUAUGAUUGGUGUGCGUUUGAUUAGCUAGUUGGUAGGGUAACGGCCUACCAAGGCGACGAUCAAUAGCUGGCGUGAGAGCGCGACCAGCCACACUGGAACUGAGACACGGUCCAGACUCCUACGGGAGGCAGCAGUAGGGAAUAUUGGACAAUGGGCGAAAGCCUGAUCCAGCCAUGCCGCGUGAUAGAUGAAGGCCCUCUGGGUUGUAAACUGCUUUUGUACGGGAAGAAACACCCCCUCGUGAGGGGGCUUGACGGUACCGUAAGAAUAAGGAUCGGCUAACUCCGUG